rnacentral:rRNA from 1 species
AUUGAACGCUGGCGGCAGGCCUAACACAUGCAAGUCGAGCGGGGUUUUCGGACCUAGCGGCGGACGGGUGAGUAAUGCGUAGGAAGCUACCCGAUAGAGGGGGAUACCAGUUGGAAACGACUGUUAAUACCGCAUAAUGUCUACGGACCAAAGUGUGGGACCUUCGGGCCACAUGCUAUCGGAUGCGCCUACGCGGGAUUAGCUAGUUGGUGGGGUAAUGGCUCACCAAGGCGACGAUCCCUAGCUGGUUUGAGAGGAGGAUCAGCCACACUGGAACUGAGACACGGUCCGGACUCCUACGGGAGGCAGCAGUGGGGAAUAUUGGACAAUGGGCGCAAGCCUGAUCCAGCCAUGCCGCGUGUGUGAAGAAGGCCUUCGGGUUGUAAAGCACUUUCAGUAGGGAGGAAGGGUGUUGUGUUAAUAGCACAGCAUUUUGACGUUACCUACAGAAGAAGCACCGGCUAACUCUGUGCCAGCCGCCGCGGUAACAC